rnacentral:rRNA from 1 species
CCUACGGGAGGCCGCAGUGGGGAAUAUUGCACAAUGGGGGAAACCCUGAUGCAGCGACGCCGCGUGAGUGAAGAAGUAAUUCGUUACGUAAAGCUCUAUCAGCAGGGACGAAAAUGACGGUACCUGAGUAAGAAGCCCCGGCUAACUACGUGCCAGCAGCCGCGGUAAUACGUAGGGGGCAAGCUUUAUCCGGAUUUACUGGGUGUAAAGGGAGCGUAGACGGGGCGGCAAGUCUGGAGUGAAAUGCCGAAGCUGAACUGCGGAACUGCUUUGGAAACUGGCGAACUUGAGUGCGGGAGGGGUAAGCGGAAUUCCUAGUGUAGCGGUGAAAUGCGUAGAUAUUAGGAGGAACACCAGUGGCGAAGGCGGCCUACUGGACCGUAACUGACGUUGAGGCGCGAAAGCGUGGGGAGCAAACAGGAUUAGAUACCCCUGUAGUC